rnacentral:rRNA from 1 species
AUUGAACGCUGGCGGCAUGCUUUACACAUGCAAGUCGAACGGCAGCGCGGGCUUCGGCCUGGCGGCGAGUGGCGAACGGGUGAGUAAUACAUCGGAACGUGCCCAGUAGUGGGGGAUAGCUCGGCGAAAGCCGGAUUAAUACCGCAUACGACCUGAGGGUGAAAGCGGGGGAUCUUCGGACCUCGCGCUAUUGGAGCGGCCGAUGGCAGAUUAGCUAGUUGGUGGGGUAAAGGCCUACCAAGGCGACGAUCUGUAGCUGGUCUGAGAGGACGACCAGCCACACUGGGACUGAGACACGGCCCAGACUCCUACGGGAGGCAGCAGUGGGGAAUUUUGGACAAUGGGCGAAAGCCUGAUCCAGCAAUGCCGCGAGUGUGAUGAAGGCCUUCGGGUUGUAAAGCACUUUUGGCGGGAACGAAAAGGACUGUGCCAAUACCACGGUUCGAUGACGGUACCCGCAGAAUAAGCACCGGCUAACUACGUG